AUUCCAGCUCCAAUAGCGUAUAUUUAAGUUGUUGCAGUUAAAGAGCUCGUAGUUGGAUUUCGGAUGGGAUCUGCCGGUCCGCCUUUGAGGUGUGUACUGGUAGGUCCUAUCUUGUUGUCGGGGACUAGCUCCUGGGCUUCACUGUCCGGGACUAGGAGCCGACGAAGUUACUUUGAGUAAAUUAGAGUGUUCAAAGCAAGCCUACGCUCUGAAUAUAUUAGCAUGGAAUAACACGAUAGGACUCUGGCUUAUCUUGUUGGUCUGUGAGACCAGAGUAAUGAUUAAGAGGGACAGUCGGGGACAUUCGUAUUUCAUUGUCAGAGGUGAAAUUCUUGGAUUUAUGAAAGACGAACUUCUGCGAAAGCAUUUGUCAAGGAUGUUUUCAUUA
rnacentral:rRNA from 1 species